rnacentral:tmRNA from 3 species
GGGGGUGUCAGUUUUGACACGUGGACAGCCCGGUAUGCGCAGGCGGAGCUCUCGUAACUCCUUAAACUUCGAGAAAAUUCAAGUGCAGACUCAAACGUCGCACAGGCAAGGUCAACAGUUUCGCCGUAUUUUACGGCAAACGACUUUGAUUUCGCAUACGUUCGAGCUUAAACUCGCGUAGCGUUACGUCUUCGUGCCGAGUAACCCGGCAUAAGCAUGAAGACGCUUCAUUUGUCGGGUUGUAAUCCAGAUGGCGCUCACGUCUGGACCAAACUUAGAGCUUGGAGCUUCUGGUGUUUUGUCUGAUUUCUAGCCAGUUGCUCGAGAAACAAAAUCAUUCUAAGCUUGUAGAACCAUAUCGCGCAUCCUCAUGGACGGGAGCUCAUUCUCCCCACCUCCACUC